rnacentral:piRNA from 1 species
AGUUAGAUCCUGAUGAGUUGGAAACC